GACGAACCGUGCGAACGUUGUUCGGAAUCACUGGGCUUAAAGGGCGCGUAGGCGGACUAUCAAGUCUUGGGUGAAAUCCUCCGGCUCAACCGGAGAACUGCCUUGGAUACUGGUAGUCUAGAGGGAGGUAGGGGUCUGCGGAACUUCCGGUGGAGCGGUGAAAUGUGUUGAUAUCGGAAGGAACGCUGGUGGCGAAAGCGGCGGACUGGACCUCUUCUGACGCUGAGGCGCGAAAGCUAGGGGAGCAAACGGG
rnacentral:rRNA from 1 species